AUGGAGGCUGCAACGGCCACUGCUUUUGUGGGUAGGAUCGCGCCGAAGCUCUUGGAGUUCUUAGCUGCAAAUCACAAGCUUAGGCAGAACCUGGAGCAUGACAUCACCUACAUCCAAAGAGAGUUUGCGUUGAUUUCUGCCGCCAUCCAGCAAGACGAUGAGUGCCGCUGGAGGAGCGGCGCCGUCGGCGACCAUGUGCAGAGGGCUUGGAUCCAAAUCAUACGUGACUUGGCGCAUGCCAUCGAAGACUGCAUCGACCGCUUCAUGCACCGGGUGACCAUCUCUGGGACGUCGACGUGGAUCCGUCAGGCAGUCCACAAGGUGCAGACGAUGACAGUCCGUAAGGAGUUUGCCAAGGCGAUUCAUGAGCUCAAGAAGAUUUCACAGGAGUCAUCCAAGUUGAGAGAAGCUUAUUACAGCGCCAGCAUCGGUGCUGGCACCUCCUCUUGCUCAGCGUUGCCGCUAUCUGUGGCGUGUGAGAUGACAACAGAGAUGGCGAUAGAUGACACCCUCUCAGCUGACAGACCUGUGGGCAUGGACGCGCCUCGGGAUGAGCUUCUCGAGCUGAUCCAGCAGCAGCAACAGCAGCUCAAGGUGAUUUCCAUUGUUGGUUUCGAUGGUAUAGGCAAGACUCUCCUUGCCAGGUGUGUGUACAACACAAUUGAGAACCAAUACGAAGCUCGGGCUUGGGUCUCUGCAGCGGAGCAAGGGGCCCCAACAAAUGUUCUCAAGGAGAUACUCCACCAGCUUGACAUCCCCACAAAUGGCGGAGGCAACCUCAGCAAGCUCUGCUCAAUUCUCAGAUUGUACCUUGGGAACAAGAGGUUCUUCAUUGUAAUCGAUGACAUGCGGACAGAAUUUUGGCAUGACAUAAAAAAUGCGUUUGUGGGGUUGAGCGGCAGAGUUCUGGUGACAACAGCCAUCCAUUCAGUAGCAAAUACCUGCAGCAGCUCAGCAGCUCAUGAUCAUGUGUACGCAAUGAAAACUCUUGCCGAUGAACACUCAAGACUGCUAUUCUUCAAGGAAGCUUUCCAAGAUGACAAUCCACCAGUUGAUAAAGAGGAUCAGCUUGGCUCGGAGGCACUGAAGAAGUGUGAUGGUUUACCCCUUGCCCUUGUUACCACAGCCCGGUACUUGCAAAGCACAGGUAAUCCGACACAUGGAAACUGGGCAACAUUAUGCCACAACCUGGGAGCACAUCUGGAAACAAAAGAGAUGUUAGCAAGAAUGAAGCGUGUGCUUGUCCAUAGCUACACUAGCCUUGUUAAACAUGAUGUCAAGACGUGCUUGCUAUAUCUUGGUAUCUACCCUAGUGGCCGUACAGUUCGGAGAGGAAGCUUGAUAAGGAAAUGGUGCGCUGAAGGGUUUAUCCAAGGAGAUUAUAUGUGUAAUGCUCUGGAUGCUGCUAUCGGCAAUUUCAAAGAGCUUGUCAACCGGAGCAUCAUUCAGCGUACAGAUGCCAGCAGCAAAAACAACGAAGAUCGGGUGAAGACAUACCAUACUCACGGCAUGAUGCUUGAGUUCAUCCUGCACAUGUCCAAGUGUGACAACUUCAUUACCUUGUUAUAUGAUCAAAUGGCUCCCCCACCCCCGCCCAGCAAAAUCCGUUGGCUCUCCCUCCAUGACACAAGUGCCAAAGUAGCCAAUGAUCUAUCUCUGGUCCGGUCUCUGACCGUCUUUGGCAAGGCGCAUGAAUCAGUCUUGGAUUUUUGCAAAUAUGAACUGCUUCGGGUUUUGGAUCUAGAAGAAUGCAGUAACCACUUGGAGGACAAGCACCUUAGGGAGAUAUGCAGCAACCUGUUGCUGCUCAGGUACCUAAGCCUUGGGGCAGCUGUUAAGGUUACAGCGCUCCCCAAAGAGAGCAAGAAACUUCAACUUUUGGAGACGCUGGAUGCAAGAAGAACCAAGAUAGAGAUUCUUCCCACACAAGUCAUGGAGCUUCCAUGCUUGAUUCAUCUAUUUGGAAAGUUCAAGCUCCAAGAAGGUGUAGGAAGCCGGAAAAUGCAUAAGCUACAAACCUGGUUCUCAGAGAAUAGCAAAUUGGAAACGGUAGCAGGAUUUGUUGUGGACAACAACAAGAGCCAAGGAUUUGCACAGCUCAUGGAGCAUAUGAAGCACUUGACGAAGGUGAAAAUAUGGUGCGAGAAGUCCACUAAUAAUAGCACGGAUCCCACUGCCAGUGGCAGCAACAGCAGCACCAACAACUACACUCAUGUCUCAAAUGCCAUCAAGGGGUUCAUCAAGAGAAGCACCGACGUGAAAAAGGCUCAUUCACUCUCAAUACAUUUCAAUGAUAAAUGGUUCCAAGACUUGCUCGUGAACUUGUCCCUAGAAAAAGAAGAAGCUUCCUCCUGCUAUCUUAGCUCAUUCAAGUUACAAGGGGGCAACAUAUGCAGCCUGCCUCCAUUUGUUACCAUGCUAGGUGGUCUCACUAAGCUGUGCCUUUCAUCCCCUCGUCAUCAGCUGAGCGGGGAUAUUCUUGCUGCCCUGAGCAGAGUGCGCUGCUUGGCGUACCUGAAGCUGAUUGCAUCUCAACUGGACAAACUCGUCAUCAUAAAAGGUGCACUUGGAAGCCUGCGACGACUAUGCAUCGUGGUUGAAGUCAUGACUGAACUGGAAGUCCAAGAGGGAGCUCUGCCACUCCUCGAGUCGCUCCAGCUGCUAUGUAAGGAUCUAAAUGGCGUUUGCUGCACGACAAUCCAGUCCCUGCGGCGUAUUAAGGAGGUCACCCUCCAUGAUGGAGUGAACUAUGAAACAAAACAAAAGUGGAAGGAAGCGGCAAAAAAACACCCCAGACGCCCCAAGCUCUUGUUUGUUAAGACAGCAGAAGAUGUUGAUAUGGAAUGUGAACCUGCAGACAAUUCUGAGAGCCCUGUGGUGCCAACUACUGCUACAACGUUAUCAGUGAUAACACCCCACCAUGCCAUUUCUACUGGACAGUCUGCACAAGUUGAUUGUGAUGAUCUGCAACAGGGUGAUGAUGAGAAAGAAGAUACAGACAAAACUGAUAUCCUAGAGGAUUUUGCUAGCAAGACUUGUCUGGACCCUCCAGUGGACAAGGAAAGGUUUGAACAGGGGAUGGAAGGAAUGGUAGGUUUACAGGAUCAGCAGAUGCAAGAUGUCACUUGGUCUACUGAUCAGGCUGAUCAAAAUGUUGUACUUUUGGCGGUGGGUGAGAACAGAAGAAAGAGGGCAAGAUUGGACAUUGGUGAAGACAAUUCAAUGGACAAGGUUGUUGAUAGAGUGAAGCGCAAGAACCCGGAGGAUGUCCAAGUCAUUGACUGGCUUGCAGAAUCGAGGCCAACAAAACAAACAGUGCCUGGGCUCGCAGUUGCUGUCUCCAAUGGAAAGUGA
rnacentral:rRNA from 1 species